rnacentral:miRNA from 1 species
CCCAUCUUCUGCCCUUCCAUCCU